ensembl:lncRNA
GUUAUCUUGCUAAUGAAGAACCUCUCUGAGGGAGCAAGAGACAAAUGCACUCACAUUCCCUAUUUACUCUAUUUUCUCUUUAUCCUUUACUUUUCUUGUUUUCCCUUGCUCUUUGUACUUUUCCUCACUUUCAGUAAUUAUUAUUCUAUAAUAUCCUUUCUUUGUUUGACUAACAUAUUAAGUAAAUAAAAUUUAUUUAACAUUGAGUAUGAUGGCUUCUAAUUCUCUUGGAAAUCAGUCUGAGAACUGACCUUUCAUAUCUUUCAUGGAAGAAGAAUUGAGAGACAUACAGGAGUAUGUAGAAUUGCAAAUCAAACAGACAUAUAUAAAGAAGGAUCAAGAGUACAUCAUGCACUAUUAAAUGAAGAUGGCAGAGGCAGAGAGGCAUUUACUGCUGCUGCUGCUAAGCUGCUUCAGUAGUAUCUGACUCUGUGCGACCCCUGAGACUGCAGCCCACCAGGCUCCCCUGUCCCUGGGAUUCUCCAGGCAAGAACACUGGAGUGGGUUGCCAUUUCCUUCUCCAAUGCAUGAAAGUGAAAAGUGAAAGUGAAGUCGCUCAGUCGUGUCCGACUCUUUGUGACCCCAUGGACUGCAGCCUACUAGGCUCCUCCUUCCAUGGAAUUUUCCAGGCAAGAGUAUUGGAGUUGGUUGCCACUGCCUUCUCCCAUUAGACAUCUGAAUGACAGUAAAUCAAAGGACACAAAUUUUAAAACGGUUGGAGUCAGAAUAUUUCCAAUAUCUGCCAAUAGAGGCUAGAGAGACAGCACUUAACUCAUCAAAAGGUGGAAGAAACAGACAAACCAAUAGAAUAAUCAAAGAACUACAUUCAAAAAGGUGUCAAAGCUCCAUGAUGGAUGAGAAAUUAGUACCAGAAUGGCUCCCGCUGUGAACUAUAAAAUCUGACAAAUACAUGAAGCAACUGUUUUUAUGCAUUACAGAACAAUGCAAGAAGCAGAGAAUUGCAAUAUGAGGUCUGCAAUCAUGGCCAGCCACAUGCAAGUCCCAGCUGGGCAAAGGAAGGAAAAUGCUUUUAUUGAGGGGGAAAGGAAGUUGCAAAGGCUGUAUCAAACAAAGUUUCCAGGGCUUUUUAUUGAGAGAUAUAAAAAUUACAUGGGUUUGCGGAGUUCCCUGGUGGCUCAGGGGUAAAGAAGCUGCCUGCCAGUGCAGGAGACAUGGGUUUGAUCCCUGGUUCUUGAAGAUCCCACAUGCCAAGGAGCAACUAAGCCUGUGCACCACAACUACUGAGCCUGUGAUCUAGAACCCAGAACCAGAACUACUGAGCCAAUGAGCCAUACUACUGAAGCCCACACACCCGAGAGCCCCUGCUCCUCAACAGGAGAAGCUCCACAGUGGGAAGCCCACACACCACAACCGGAGAGUAGCCUCUGCUCCCCACACUAGAGAAAAAGCAGAGAAGAUCCAGCAC